rnacentral:lncRNA from 1 species
GCCAGGUGUAGAUGCAGCUUAAGAUACCAAAUGCAUUUUUUUCACUGUGUUCUCUCUUUAGAUUUUCAUGCACAGCUGGGAACAGAAGUUUAUCCUAAAAAGUUUACCUGUGGUUUAUCUCUUUUCUUAUUACUCUUCAUGUUGCUCCUUUAACUUCACUGACUGUGAGAGUCUUCCAUCACAGAGGAGGCCUUAUUGGACUUCAAGGGAAGAAAGAAAACAGUGGAUGCAUGUCAGAGUGGACAUAGCUCAGGAGGGGAUCAUCAUUCUGCUGAUCUGGCCUUUGUAGAAUCUACAGUUUCAAAUAUUAGAAACACUUGUCCCCAUCUGGACGCUGGAAAUAUUGUACUAGAUUGGUCUUUGACAGUACAGAUGGGAGUGAAGUAAUCAAAAUCAGGCUGGAUAAAACAGAAGUGAUGCUGAGAUUGUGAAAGCACAUGGAGAACUGGCCAAACCUGUGGGAGAGUCACCUAUUGAAUCUGCCAGUGUGCCUUGCAGAUUUAAAAUUUUAUUGAAUCCACCUAGCUGAAAGAUCAUUGCUCAUCUCGUGUUCCCUCAUGGCAUUCGUUUUUGUUUGGUUUGCUGGUGCAGCAUGUUCCUGGCAUUACACCUUUCAAGAAAGAAUUUAAAGCUUGUUUAGCAGAGGCUUCCUGCCUUUGAAGCCUGCUUCUGACAGAGUGAAAGGCCAAAUUCUGAAAGCUCCAUGUUGCAAUGAAGGAAUGUUGUUUGCCUUCAGAUUAUUUGGAGAGUGAAUGGAGAAAAUAGGAGUUUAUUUUGAUUAAAUUAUUUGUUAAUGAUUAUUAUUUAAUUACUUCAGGUUCCCACAUGCCAAAAUUAAUGGGCAUUCCAGUAAAUUUCAGAGAAAUAUUUUUUAUUUUUAAAUAGUGAUUUGAAAAAUUUUAAAAAAUAAGAGAAAAGAGAGUACAAAAAUGGAGGAAUGAUUUAUACACUGCAUUUUCCAAUUUGGGAUAAACAUCAGAUAACAAACUAAGGCCAAAAGGGUAUAUGUUGGCAGUCAAUUCUACUCAGCCAGACAUUGAGAAAUAUGAUUUAUUUAAAUGAUGUGCUGUUUAAUAAACAUCUGAAUCCUUAUUUAUACCUCUUGAUU